GGGAAACUGAACGCCAAAAAUAAGUAUGGCUUAUCCGAAGGAGAAUUGGGCACUGAUUCCGAUGAGCUAUGUCUCGAGCCGAUCAGAGAAGAGGAACCGUGUCAAAUUUCAUAAAUAACACCUUCCAUAUUUGGAAAAUGGGCUUGAUGACGUGCGUACUGCUUAGCUGUCACCAUGCUGUGCAUGCUCGGCAGUGUAAUUGAAUGGAAGAAAACAAUUACUUUGGUGUUUUGCAGCUCUAUUUCGUUCCCUGACGGUACCCAAAUCUAGAUGUAGGAGUCUGUUGAGCAGGAGAGUGACACAUGUCUUCCCGAAGGCUGUCCAGCCUGCAGUGGUGAUGAAGAAGACACGAAUAUCACCCCAAGAUCGAUUGUAGCGAAUUGGAAAACUCAUGGUGAAUUUGCUUCCACUCCAAGGCAAUGUCGAGACCAGAAUGCUUCGCCAUCAACUCCUGGCUUUCCAUCGGCAUGGUGUUCAGCUGCAGCGGCAUCUGGUCCGGGGAGUACGUUGCUGGAUGGCUGCACUGACACAGGAUGGGUUUGCGUUGGCAAUGCAAUACGGCAGUCAUCCCACAUUAUGAGCUACACGUUUAUGUAAUUUAUAUUGUCGCUCGUCCAGCAACGUCAAGGCUCUGCAUGUAAACACAGGAGAACACCAUAAUAAUUAUACUACUCAGGGGAUAAUAAUUAAAAAUUUUGGAUUAUCAAUUUCUUGACAUUUAUGAGUUCCUGUCUAAACCAUGUCGUGAUAUUGAUUGCUAUCUGCUCACAAAGUACCUCGUAUUGUAACAAUACUCUGCUUAAUCACUACCCUCUGCCAAUUAUUAGAUUCGCACAAUAUUCACAACAUAUGCAACACAAUGCUGUCUAUUGACACUACUUCGAACUGAAAUGCUCACUACUCGUCUCCCGUUUUCAACUCCCUCUACCUUAUGAAUACUCUACUUUACUGGUUUCGUUUCUACCCUUUCCAUUGCUGCCAGCCCCCAGUCUUUUUCAGUGGACAGCACCAUAUUGAAAUUUUUGUGAUUUGAUGUACACAUACUUUGAAAUUGAAAUUCGAAUUACAUGAUCAGAUUUUUGUU